UACGUAGGUCCCGAGCGUUGUCCGGAUUUAUUGGGCGUAAAGCGAGCGCAGGUGGUUUAUUAAGUCUGGUGUAAAAGGCAGUGGCUCAACCAUUGUAUGCAUUGGAAACUGGUAGACUUGAGUGCAGGAGAGGAGAGUGGAAUUCCAUGAGUGGCGGUGAAAUGCGUAGAUAUAUGGAGGAACACCGGUGGCGAAAGCGGCUCUCUGGCCUGUAACUGACACUGAGGCUCGAAAGCGUGGGGAGCAAACAGG
rnacentral:rRNA from 1 species